AGUAACACGUGGAUAACCUACCUAUAAGACUGGGAUAACUUCGGGAAACCGGAGCUAAUACCGGAUAAUAUAUUGAACCGCAUGGUUCAAUGGUGAAAGACGGUUUUGCUGUCACUUAUAGAUGGAUCCGCGCCGCAUUAGCUAGUUGGUAAGGUAACGGCUUACCAAGGCAACGAUGCGUAGCCGACCUGAGAGGGUGGAUCGGCCACACUGGAACUGAGACACGGUCCAGACUCCUACGGGAGGGCAGCAGCA
rnacentral:rRNA from 1 species